UCACCUGCUUUAAAGCGUCAGCAUCAACAGACCAGCUCCGGAUGCGUCUUCGUACUGAAGCCUGCUGAGUCUCCACGAGGACAGGAAGUCAACAAUUACACAACAAUAAAUGAAAACGUUGUGAAUUACAGAAACCUGAAUCUCCAUUCCACCUCCUUCGCUUCCAUCGAGGCCCUGCAGUCUGGACUGCACUCUCCCCGCAGACGGCUCCGUGGUUAUGUUUGUUUCUGUGAUUGAAUUCCCCGCGUGGAUACGAGGUCUUCAUCAGCUGUAAGCAGCGUCUCCGCUGUCGGCAGCACCCGCAGACAGUCACAACAGCAGUAACGUCAGGCAGCAGUGUCCACUCCGACAGGCCAAACCCGUCUGUGUGUACAGCUGCGUACUGUCCCAUCUAACACCCGGCUCCUCAUUACUGUGAAAUAUCACCUCACUGGUUCCAAAACAUCUCGCCAAAGGACUGCAGCCAGCUGGCAAACUCUGGCACAUUUACAGAAAUGUUUGUUACUGUACGUUGGCCUUAUAAAUAAAUACCUGACAUGAAAUUAUUAUUGAAAUAAACAUGAAUUAAAUCAACCUUUUCUAUUCUAAUUAGAGAGUAUUUAGCUUAAUGUCAGUAAGGAAGUGAGACUAAAAAGCAUCAGUUAAUAAAAACGUGGAUCUUUCCCCGUGCUUUACCGGGACAUCCAGCAGGUGUAGUACGUUGGUAUUUGAAAAAGGUUCCACUUGGUUUUUAUCCGUUCAUUAACAGUCUGUUUCUAAUAAUAAUAAUAAUACUUCCUGCAAAAUGAUGCGACUCGCAGCCGGUCGGAGCUUUUCUGUCAUUUUAUUUUAGAGUUUAGACUUUUUGAAUCAAAGAGGGCACUGAAGCUCCUGUGAAGCUCCUGAGAGAGAAACAAACCCUUCAGCGCCGCUCUGUGACUCUGUGGUUUAUCAGCGAAGUGUGUGGACAGACUGAACACACUGAAUCAGUAGAUCUGUGUUGUAGAUCUACUACGUUCCUCUCCCGUAUCAAACUGCUGCAUUAUCAUAAACUGCUGUAGAUGAGCUCUCUCCCUCUUCAUCUCCUUUCACUUUUCACGCUUCAGUGUCGUUGACUAUGUCGUUGCUGCUUUAACAAACAUGUUGGUGUUUGAGUUGUGAGAUUUAAGUGAUGUAAGAUUGGUGUAAAAUGUUGUUGAUAACUCUCAGAUAUAAAUGACACCAUGAAUGUCGCGCGGCAUUUAGAAGGACGUGAUGAUACAGA